GAAUCAGGGUUUGAUUUCGGAGAGGUGGCCUGAUACACCGCCACCACUUCCAAGGAAGGCAGCAGGCGCGAAAAUUACUCCAUGACAUCUCGUCGAAGUAGUGACCAGAAUUACCAGAGUUGUGACAUUUAAUUGUACAAGUUCUGGGAUGAGUACAAUUUAAAACCAUUAACUAGAAACUAUUUGAGGGCAAGUCUGGUGCCAGCAGCCGCGGUAAUUCCAGCUCAAAGAGUGUAUUUGAAAGUUGCUGCAGUUAAAAAGUCCAUAGCUGACGUUUAUUGAGAUUGAGGUGUACAGUCGAUCAGCAAUGAGAGACUGAAAUUGAGAUUUCAAAGAGAUUUUAGUUUUGAGUAAGGGUCAGGGAGACUUGAUACCUGCCCGGUUCCGCAAGGUUCCGGUUGAACUAAAGAGGAUUAACUUUGAAUAAAUUUGGGUGUUCAAUGCAAGCUUUUUAGCUUUGAAAACAUUAGCAUGGUAUUACGCAAUAUGACUUAUCGUUGCCGCAGUUUAGUUGUGUGUCAAAGCACGACAGGUUUCGAUUUGUAAUGAGAAAUGAGAAUUGUUGGAGUGAUCUUUAUUUUUCGGGGAAGGGUGAAAUCUUAUGAUCCGAAAAAGAAAUACGACGGCGAAAGCACCUACACUAAGAUGUUUCUACCGGUCAAGGGCGAAAGUUAAGGGAGCGAAGAUGAUUAGAUACCGUCGUAGUCUUAACCGUAAACAAUGUUGAUUUAGGAUACCAGAUCAUUUAUUUUAUGACUUCUGGUGAACUAUACGAGAAAUCCAGAAUAUUCGAACUCUGGGGGUAGUAUAGUCGCAAGGCUGAAACUUAAAAGAAUUGACGGAAGAGCACCACCAGCGUGGAAUUUGCGGCUUAAUUUGACCCAACACGGGAAAACUCACCAGGACAGGACAUAAAAAGGAUUGACAGAUUGAUAGAUCUUUCAUGAUAUUAUGAAAGGUGGUGCAUGGCCGUUUUUAGUUGGUGGUUUGAAUUGUCUGGUUAAUUCCGAUAACGAACAAGACCUUUUCCUGCUAUUUAGCUUUGGAAGGCUGAUAAUUUAGUGUUACUCUGUAUCACUAUGACUUCUGUACCCGAAUUGAGCUUCUUAGAGGUACUCUUUUUGUUUGUGAAACAAUUAAAAGGAAGAAAGACAAUAACAGGUCUGUGAUGCCCUUCGAUGCCCUGGGCUGCACGCGUAUUACAAUGGAAUAAUCACUUAGUGAUACCUAAUUAGAAAUGAUUCGGGGAAUCUCAAAAACUAUUUCGUGAUGGGGAUAGUGUUUUGCAAUUAUCGCACUUGAACGAGGAAUGCCUUGUAAGGGUGUUUCAUCAAAGCACCCUGAAUUAGUCCCUGCUCUUUGUACACACCGCCCGUCGCUCCUACUGAUUGAAUUUUGUGAUGAGGAUCUUGGACUGUUGACAAGUCUGUUUAGGUAGAUGGUUAUU
rnacentral:rRNA from 1 species